rnacentral:rRNA from 1 species
GGUAUGGGAUGAGCUUGCGUCCGAUUAGCUAGUUGGCGGGGCAACGGCCCACCAAGGUGACGAUCGGUAGCCGGCCUGAGAGGGUGAUCGGCCACAUUGGGACUGAGAUACGGCCCAGACUCCUACGGGAGGCAGCAGUAGGGAAUAUUGCACAAUGGGGGAAACCCUGAUGCAGCAACGCCACGUGUGGGAAGAAGCAUUUCGGUGUGUAAACCACUGUCGUGAGGGAAUAAGGCAUUUUUUCGGAGAUGUUGAAUGUACCUCGAGAGGAAGCACCGGCAAACUUCGUGCCAGCAGCCGCGGUAAUACGAGGGGUGCAAGCGUUGUUCGGAAUCACUGGGCGUAAAGGGAGCGCAGGCGGAAGCUCAAGCGGAUUGUACAAUACCGGGGCCCAACCCCGGACCUGCAGUCCGAACUGGUUUCUUGGAUAGUUCAGGGGCAGGC